UCGAACGGAAUCUUUCGGGAUUUAGUGGCGGACGGGUGAGUAACGCGUGAGAAUCUGGCUUCAGGUUCGGGACAACAGUUGGAAACGGCUGCUAAUACCGGAUGUGCCAAGAGGUGAAAGCUUCAGUGCCUGGAGAUAAGCUCGCGUCUGAUUAGCUAGUAGGAGUGGUAAUGGCACCCCUAGGCGACGAUCAGUAGCUGGUCUGAGAGGAUGAUCAGCCACACUGGGACUGAGACACGGCCCAGACUCCUACGGGAGGCAGCAGUGGGGAAUUUUCCGCAAUGGGCGCAAGCCUGACGGAGCAAGACCGCGUGAGGGAAGAAGGUCUGUGGAUUGUAAACCUCUUUUGAUAGGGAAGAAGACAGUGACGGUACCUAUCGAAUCAGCCUCGGCUAACUCCGUGCCAGCAGCCGCGGUAAUACGGAGGAGGCAAGCGUUAUCCGGAAUUAUUGGGCGUAAAGCGUCCGUAGGUGGGUCACCCAGUCAGUUGUUAAAGAGUGAAGCUUAACUUCAUAGAGGCGACUGAAACUGGUGGUCUAGAGUGUGGUAGGGGUAGAGGGAAUUUCCAGUGUAGCGGUGAAAUGCGUAGAUAUUGGAAAGAACACCGGUGGCGAAAGCGCUCUACUGGGUCAUUACUGACACUGAGGGACGAAAGCUAGGGGAGCGAAAGGGAUUAGAUACCCCUGUAGUCCUAGCCGUAAACGAUGGAUACUAGGCGUUGCCCGUAUCGACCCGAGCCGUGCCG
rnacentral:rRNA from 1 species